rnacentral:tRNA from 1 species
GAAAGUAUAGCUCAGGUGGUAGAGCGCAUGCUUAGGGUGCAUGAGGGCCUGGGUUCAAUCUUCUAGUACCUCCU